AAACCAACUGGGAUUACCUUAGUAACGGCGAGUGAAGCGGUAAAAGCUCAAAUUUGAAAUCUGGUACUUUCAGUGCCCGAGUUGUAAUUUGUAGAAUUUGUCUUUGAUUAGGUCCUUGUCUAUGUUCCUUGGAACAGGACGUCAUAGAGGGUGAGAAUCCCGUUUGGCGAGGAUACCUUUUCUCUGUAAGACUUUUUCGAAGAGUCGAGUUGUUUGGGAAUGCAGCUCAAAGUGGGUGGUAAAUUCCAUCUAAAGCUAAAUAUUGGCGAGAGACCGAUAGCGAACAAGUACAGUGAUGGAAAGAUGAAAAGAACUUUGAAAAGAGAGUGAAAAAGUACGUGAAAUUGUUGAAAGGGAAGGGCAUUUGAUCAGACAUGGUGUUUUUUGCAUGCACUCGCCUCUCGUGGGCUUGGGCCUCUCAAAAAUUUCACUGGGCCAACAUCAAUUCUGGCAGUAGGAUAAAUCAUUAAGAAUGUAGCUACCUCGGUAGUGUUAUAGCUUAUUGGAAUACUGCUAGCUGGGAUUGAGGACUGCGCUUCGGCAAGGAUGUUGGCAUAAUGGUUAAAUGCCGC
rnacentral:rRNA from 8 species